rnacentral:hammerhead_ribozyme from 1 species
AUCCAGCUAACGAGUCCCAAAAAGGGCAAAACGUGCUUCCUGGAU